GGAGUCGUGUGCUUUGGGGGGAGGGGAAACGAGGCGCGGCCUCGGGGCUCGGGCUCGACCGACCUGUUGGCUGCGGCCGCGGCGGCUGCUGCUUUUCCUUGCGCGUCCUCAACCCGUGACGCGGUUUUCAGAUGGCUUUGGCCGCCGCGUAGCCGCGGCGCGGGUUUCCAGUGCCGCGGAGGUGGAGCUGACACGGCAGCGAAAAGGAGGUUUCGUACUCGCGUGGCGGGGCCGAGGGUGCACACGGCCUGUUCGACGAAAUGCGUCGCCGGCGACGAUCUGUGCGUGCGGUCUUGAGCUUUGGCUGCUCGCGAUCACCACCGGCAUCUACCACCUCGCCGCGUCUUGACCUGGAUGUUCUCCUGAUCUGAAGAGGAAAUGGAAAGAAGAUCAAUGCUUGUGUGCAGAUGACACAACAGCACCUCUGCAUGGCUCCAAGGCGAAAAACAUGGUUGCUAUGGAAGCUGCUGUGGUAACAGGAAUAUUGAAGGUUGUGGGCAACAAGUUAGCUCCACUGAUUAUCAAAGAGUACAAGUCUGUAGUGGGUGUCAAAAAGGAUCUCCAGGAGCUUCAAAAUCUUGCUAUGCAGAUCAACUCUUGGCUGGAAGAAGAAGGAGACGGGGCAGAAGGAAACUGGCUCAAAAAAUUGAAAGAUGUGGCCUAUGAUGUUGAUGAUGUUGUGGAUGAGUUCCAGCUAGAGGCUGAAAAAAAGGAUGUCAAUGCUGAUGGUGGCACAGUGUCCACAAAACCAAAAUCAUUGUGGCUACAGUGGACGGCGGCCCGGAAAAUCAAGGACAUCAAGAAGCGGUUUGCUGAAAUUGUGAAGCAAAGAGCUGACAUCAAUGCAAUAAAAAAUAACAUACCAGACACUCAUCCUGCACGACAUGAAACUGUGGAGUUGCCAUUACCCAAUGUGGAUGCAUCAUCAGUAAUCGGAAGAGAUAGAGAGAAGCACCAAAUAAUAUCCAAACUGGUAGAGAGCGAACACCAACAGAAAAUCAAGAUAGUUUCCAUCAUUGGACUUGGCGGCUCUGGGAAAACUACCUUGGCUAAACUUGUUUUCAAUGACAGGAAUAUAAUUGAGGAUUUUAAAGUUAGACUGUGGGUUCAUGUGUCGCAAGAAUUUGCCGUUCAAAAGCUUGUUGAGAAGUUGUUUGAACCAUGCCUGAUGAAGAAGAGGGAGGAGGCUGCAGCGAUAGCACACCUCAUACGGGACAGGUCCGAGUUGGUAGUUGCUUAUCAAAGUUGGAUAUUGUUAAGUGUCCUAGUUUGAAGGUGAAGCCAUACCUGCCUUCGUCCCUGCACAAGUUGCUGUUGUGCGGCCACACCGAACAGCUGCUGCAGUCCUCCAAUUUUAGCCAGCUGAAGAAGCUCGUGGUAUGGGGAAACGGAGGAUUAGGAUCUGGGCGUGGGUGGGAGCUGCUGCAACCAAUGACAGCACUUGAGUCAUUGGAUAUUCAGCAUUCCAGUGGUCUAAUUGAGCUGCCAGAGAGUUUGGGGAACCUCAAGUCCCUCCGGUCUCUGGAGUUGUUUGCAUGCGAUGCUAUUCGCAGGCUGCCCAUGUCGCUAGGGGAGCUUCCGUCUCUGCAAGAGCUGACCAUUGGGAUCUGCCAUAGCUUCAACAGCUUUCCACAAUCAAUAGGGCGUCUCACAUCCCUUCAGGUGCUCAAGAUAACAAUGUGUAAUGCACUUCAGCAAUUACCCGAAUGCCUGGGAGGCCUUCGUUCUCUACGCAAACUCUACCUUUCUGGGUUGCCGCUGCUGACUUGCAUUCCCCAAUCCAUUUGCCACCUCACCUCCCUUAAUGUGCUCUUGAUCGGGCGCUGUCCAGGCAUCAAAUCCUUGCCAGAAGGGGUAACAGGGCUCACUGCUCUGCAGGAACUGGACAUCGAUGGCUGCCCCGAUCUCGCGAGGCACUGCAAGAGGGGAAAGGGUGAGGGCUGGCACCUCAUCUCCCACAUCCCUCGUCGGCGGAUUAGGACAAGAGAAGCUUGACGCCACAUCAUCAUUUUAUUAAGAAUAAUGUAUUGGAGCUAUGUUCUUUAUUUGACUUCCUUAUGCCUGUCUUUCUCAGGUGGCAAAAACAUUUCCAAGCUAACCCAUUGGUAGCAGCUAGAGAUUCAAAAAGUUCACCAAAGGGUGCCGAAGCUGGUAUUCUUGCAAUGGAGGUGCUCGUAAGCAGAUAUUUGUAAUUUGCAAUAUAUUUUAAAAAUGGUCAUAUGCCGUGACCUCUAAAAAUAAAUUUGACCCAAUGAAGGAUCUUCAGGCAAUGAACAGAGCGCACCGUUUGGGUCAAAGGAAAGUGGCGAACGUUCACUGUCUCAUCAUGUGUGGGCACCCUUGAGGAGAAGGUGUUGUGUCUCCAGAGGUUCGAGAUAUCAGUUGCCAAUGCUGUCAUCAAUGCUGAGGACUCCAGCUUGAAGACCAUGAACACUAACCAGUGCGUGAUCUGUUCGCAUGCACCCCAAGAAAAGCGUCGGUGCUUCCACGAGAUUCGAGUGAUGAUCCGAGUAAAGAUUUCAAGAGGAAAUCUGGUGGCAAAGGCUUGAAGUCCAUUCUUAAUGAGCUGGACGAGCUUUAGGAUCAUUCGCGGUAUGCGGAGGAUCCACGGCGAAGAUGAACGGCUGAAGAUCACCGGCUCAUGUACAGUGUAGACAAAUGGGGACGUGUGAUCCAGGCGGUUUGCAUAUUUUGUCGCCAACUCAGGAAAUUCUUUAUGUUGUUUGAUACUGAAGGAAAAAGAGGAGAUCACAAUACCAAACAUGACACGGCUAACACGCAGGUGGCUGAGGUUACGAUCUCAACUUUUGUUAGAAGGCUCAGGGCUGGGAGGCUGUAAAGUUUUGACGAGUCGUAUACACUCACUGCUUUCACAAUUGAAGACUGAAUCACGCUUGUUAUUCGUGUGCUGUUUUUAACACUCAGCUUUGUUAUUCGUGUGCUGUUUUUAA